AUGCCCAGUUUUGGAAUUUUAGGAUUAGAGAAGUGGAGGGGAAAUGAAAACUGUCUCAACAUACCUAGAUUUAUUCGGAUCAUUCUCUAAAUCUGUUAAACGAUAUUUUAAAUAGGGACUUCCGGUUCCGGUUUACGACAACUCUAGCCACAUGAGGAGACUCGUCUCCUCGACGGCUAGCCUUCCCUCCACUGGUCGACUCUUAUACAAGUCGAAAGUUGCCAUGGAGGGUGCAACUUCCAUCGAAGAGGCUUUGGCUCAGCUGCGGAGAAGCAGCGGCUCCUCCAGCUGUCCGGGUGAUCUCUGAGGGCUGAUGGAGAAGAAGAUCAGCCAGUAAAAUGGCCGAUCACCCUGCUGCUUCAGACUGCAAGUCAAGAACAUCUAAGUUAAGAACCCCUGUGGUGAAUCUGGGAUAUCUAGAAGAAGGCUUUGAAGAUCAAGGAAAGUCCAGGCAUUUUCUUAGGAUCAAAGAGACCCAUGUUUGAAUUCAGCCUCAGCUAUGAAAGCUCAUGAAGUGACAGAGAAGUAACCAGAAGCUUCAUCUCUUACUCCAAUUUAUUUCACAUGAUUGCUAUUGGAGGGAAGAACUAGAAGAAAAAUUUCGAUGUACAUUGCUUUAAGUUCAUGGAUAAAAAGCAGGAUGAAAGCCUAAAGAAUAAACAAGUAUUAUACAAUUUUCUGUAAAGAAAAACAAAUGCAUACACUAAGUGGAAGGAUACCAAGGAGGAGAAGGAAAAAAAAACCCUAAUGGACAAAAGUUAUCAAUUUCAUUAAAUCCAUGGCUUAAGGAGACACAGAAAUCCAGUCCACAUGAAGAAAUAGUGUCAACUAUUAAAAUCUUAAUUUGCAAAGUUCAGCUAAGUUAAGAAACAUGAAAACUAGGAGGCAAUGUGAAGUGUUAACUUGAUUUAAUUCAGUGCUGGAACUGACACCUGUUGUUCUCAAUAUAUCCAGAUCUGCAACAUGAGAGCUGUAAGAGGUAAGAAUGCCAGUGAGAGCUGGCUGUGUAUUGCCUUGUGGUCAGUGAAAGGAGAAUGAGACGAAAAAGAAAUCUUCCAAAGCUCACUGAUAUAUUAUUUCCCUUCCCCUGCACACUUUCUGAAAUAUGCUUGUUAUUUAUUUGCAUUGACCUGGGAAGGCCUUUCUAGUUAAUUCUGGAUCAGUGGGCUCUGGAAUUGGUGGGAUCUGGAACUGGUCAGGGUUUGGACCAGUCAGCGCAUGCUCAGAAGCACUGAAUUCUGUGCUGCUUUAUGCUUCAGAUAAUGACAUUUGAUAGUGACAAGAAGUCUUUGGAAGCUUUCUGCUUUCAGUUUUUUUUUUUUUUCAAAUGUCAAGUAUUUAUGGUCAGCUUUUGUGACUUCCUGAUCCAAGUUAAGCCUUUUAGCUAUAAUUUGCUGUUCAAUGUAUGAAAUGUAUGUUUAUUUACCUAAUAAUGUAUAUUUUUAAAAUUCAGCACUGGAAAACAAUACUGAUAGUGAUUGCUUUUGGAACAGAUCAGGUUUGGAUGAUGAUCAGUGGUUUUUUUUCUGUUCAUUAUUGUCCCUGUGUUGAAACUGGAUGCCAACUUUUUUCUCAGCCUGAUUUCAAGUGCCCACAAAGGUGUACAAAGCAUUACAUGGCUUCAAACCAAGCUACUUACAAGACCACCAAUUCCCAUAGAAUGUGCCCUGCACAGUUGAAUCAAUGGGAUGUCUUUUCCAAAUCUCUGCAUGGACACAUUUUAAUUAAUUAUCCAUUCUGCUUUCUUUGUUUCUUAAUAUAAUGAAGCUCGUGUGCUGGAUCAAUCUGAUACUGGAAUUUAAGGAAGCAUUAUUAGUUAGAUGAUGGCUCAAAGCAAAGAUUAUUUUCUCAGAUAUUUUAAUGCUAAUAUGUUUAAUAUGUUUAAUAUGUUUUAAACCCAUUAGCUUUUAGUAAAUGUGUUUUUCAAACAUUGCAAGGGAUUAAAUACAUAUACAUCUAUGUGAAAAUUAAAUAAUAAAAAAAUGCUCAGUGUUUCUGUGAUAUCAGUGAUAUCUCCAAACCUCCUUUAUGCAAAGGGAAACAAAAGGCACAUAGGCAUGGUCUCCCUUGUCAUUUGAUUGCAAUUCAUGGACAUUAAGACUUGAAUUGGGAAGUCAUCAUAAGAGAAAAAAAGGGAGUAAUGGACUCUUUCUGAACCCUGAAGUCACUCUCUCCAUAUAUAAUGGAAUGACUAAUAGAUCUUAGAACACAGAAGGAGCAGCAAAAAAGGGAGGAAACAGGGCAUUAAAAAGAGAUUUACAUUAUCCUACUACGUAGCAAUAAAUGGAUUUUCAGAAUUCCAUUCUUCUUUCUGGAAAUUGCUAAACUGUAUAUGAGACAAUAAUCAGCAGGUCACAUGAACCUAUGGCCAUAACAUAUCACAAACACAAACUAUUCUACAAAUUAGCUGAACUUGUCUAACCAUUAUUAGCUGAACAAAUCUGGCUCAUUCAUUCAAGUCUGGAAUCAUGAUUUACAAAUCACAAGAGUUUUAGUUAAACUCAUGCUGACCUGAAAUCAACCCAAAUCUAUAUUCAUUAUAAUCCUGAAUUCAACAGGACUUCCUUUUGAGUACAUUACUAACUCUGGUAAAAGGACAAAUUGGAAAAUUGAUGAAUAAUGGCAGGGUAAUGCUUCUGAAGAAAGUCAUAAUCAUUGUGUAUUGGUGUUCCAUUUGUUGGUUUAUAUGGUAUUGUGUUGAAUAUGACAGCUUAGAAAGGAUACCAAAGACAAUAGGAGUUUUUUUGCAAUAUCCAGGAUUGCAAUUAUGCCCAAAAGACACUAUAGAAAACAUGAAGUAUGUUUGUGUAUACCUGGUUUACAUUGCUACAUUUUGGUGAUCAACAUUUUGUCCUGUAGAUAUCCUUAAUGUCCAUUGAAAACUUUUGGUCUGCAAACCAAGUCACAUGAGUAGAGUAAUCCUUCCACUCUGUUCUUCAUUGAAGUAUGCAUUUUGAAAAUGAUUGG